rnacentral:rRNA from 1 species
GAUGAACGCUGGCGGCGUGCCUAAUACAUGCAAGUCGAGCGAACAGAUGAGGAGCUUGCUCCUCUGACGUUAGCGGCGGACGGGUGAGUAACACGUGGAUAACCUACCUAUAAGACUGGGAUAACUUCGGGAAACCGGAGCUAAUACCGGAUAAUAUAUUGAACCGCAUGGUUCAAUAGUGAAAGACGGUUUUGCUGUCACUUAUCGAUGGAUCCGCGCCGCAUUAGCUAGUUGGUAAGGUAACGGCUUACCAAGGCGACGAUGCGUAGCCGACCUGAGAGGGUGAUGGGCCACACUGGAACUGAGACACGGUCCAGACUCCGACGGGAGGCAGCAGUAGGGAAUCUUCCGCAAUGGGCGAAAGCCUGACGGAGCAACGCCGCGUGAGUGAUGAAGGUCUUCGGAUCGUAAAACUCUGUUAUUAGGGAAGAACAAAUGUGUAAGUAACUAUGCACGUCUUGACGGUACCUAAUCAGAAAGCCACGGCUAACUACGUG